CCAGUCCCAAUGGCUUCUGCGAUUUUAGUCCGCGUCAUGAAAAACUCCAACACUCUCGGCAUCGCUAUCGAGGGGGGGCAAACACACGGCAGCCCUUACCGCGCAUCGUCACUGUACAGAAAGGAGGCUCCGCCCAUAACUGCGGUCAGCUGCGGGUGGGUCAUGUGAUCGUGGAGGUGAACGGCGUGUCUCUGAGGGGGCGGGAACAUAAGGAGGCCGCGCGGAUCAUCGCCGAAGCCUUCAAGACCAAAGACCAGGACUACGUGGACUUCCUGGUUCUGGAGCCCGGACUCUAGUGACUCCGCCCACGCCGCAGACUCACGACGAUAAUCAAUCAUUCAUCACCAAAACGACGGGAGGAAGGAAGGUGGCACUGUGACGAGAUUUGCACAAAGUAGAUUUAGAAAUUAUAUGAACUACCAGAGAAUGUGUGCUUUGAAUUAUAUAUACUUUAUUAUUAUUUUUUUUGACAUGUCUUUUUAAUAUUAUGAUUAUAAGCUCACACUAUCUCUCUGCAUACCGACAUUCACCGAUAAGUUUAGGCUGUAAUAGUCUGUACCAGGGGGUCUUCAGCGAUCGUGACCCGUCUAGGUGACCACAGAGGCACUUGCUGGGGAUUUGGCAUCAUUGCUUUUAGUAAUCAGGAGGUUGAUUCUAUUUUCUAGUUUUAAAACAAUGCAACUGGACUUAUGUUUUUGGACAGAUGCGUGAGAGCACACCUACAUUAGGGUGACCAGAUGUCCCAGUUUACCCGGGACAGUCCGAGUUUUGAGUCCUGUAAACCAAUUCAAAAUCUCAAUUCAGGAUGCGGAUUAGUGCAUGUCAUAAGUCGUUGACAGUUUUACCUUUAUCGUGGGUAAAGACGGUUUAGAUUUGGAACCCUGCGGCUGAUUCGCGAAUGUCCCAGUUUUUUUAAAUCUGGUCACCCUAACCUACAUGCAUACAUAAAGUGUAGUUCGAACAGAUUCCAUCACAAGCUCACAUGUGGAUCGAGUGUCAGUAAACCGUCAUGCGCGUGAGGCUUUGCAGAGGUGUUGGUACGCGGACUUUGGCCCUUUGUUCAGUCGUCUCAUGGAAGUGAACGCAAGAAUCUCAAAACACUGAACAAACCUAAGGCUCAGAUCACCCUCGCAUAUGUGGCCAACUUGUCUCUCCAGAAAUGGUGCACAUCACUGAAACCAGU
rnacentral:lncRNA from 1 species